rnacentral:rRNA from 1 species
GUCUACGGCCAUACCACCGUGAAUGCACCCAGUCUUGUCUGAGCUCAGAAGCUAAGCAGGGUCGGCCUGGUUAGUACUUGGAUGGAGAAAGAUCUUCAGAGGAGACUGCUCAGAGACAAGCAUUUUGGAGU